GAAAGCUGGCGCCAAGAGAUUUGAAAUUGUUUGAAGCAGGGGAGAGGCCUAAUCUGAUUUGUGUGUUGGAAAGGUAUUUCUGGUAACAGUGCGGAGGCUGGAUGAGUCACUUGGAGAAAAGAAGACCACAUUCCAGAGGGUUCCAUGAUGUGGACACUUUCAGCAGGUGGUGAGGGCUAGCGAUAUGUGGCGUGGUACCCUCUCUUGAUGCUGGGCAGUGGCGGUGAGCACAGCUCCCAGUUAGCCAUGCGAUCAUCAGGAUAUGUGUGACUCAGGACACCAUGUUGUCAGAUCUUCACCAUCCUAAGCACAAUGUAACAACCCAUAAUGGCUAAGUAGUGUCCCGGUAACAUGGAGGAAUGAAAAAGUUGUGUAAAUGGCAUCAAGAUUGUCUUAAGAUUAUCAAGCUAAUAGAAGCAAUAAACAUCACCAGUUGUUUUAGGAUUUAUUCUUCAAGGGAGGGUUUGCACUUAAAGGGACAUUAUCUCUUCCAACUAAUACCAAUGAACAAGAGUAAUGAAACAAAGAGGCAUAAUUUCUACCACCAGAAAACUCUUACAUAUGUAGUUUUUAAAAUGUACACUAUGCAGUAAAAGAUACGAAAUCCAAUAUUAGACUAGGUAUGUAAAAUCAGAAAUAUUUUUCUCCAGAGACCCAGAGAACUUGAGGUAGUCAUUGUCCUCAAAGCCCUUUGCACAUCAAGAUAUGCAAGGUCCAACUGCUUCACUUGGAAUUCAAGUCUUCCAAAAUAUAGUCCCAGCUUUAUGUGCUACUAAAGAUCUGCAUUCAACCUUUCAAGGUCCUUAACACUGAUAUGAUUAUGAUGUCUCACCUCUAUCCUCCAUAAAUAUAAAACAGGAUCACAAGCAUAGGCAACAAAAACAACACUAGACAAAUGGGACUAUGUUGAACUAAAUAGCUUCUGCACAGCAUCUACACACAAUCAACAGUGUGAAGAGACAGCCUGGUGAAUUGGAGAAAAUAUUUGCAAACUAUUAAUGUGACAAAGGACUAAUAUCCAGAAUGUACAAGGAACUCAAACAACCCAACAGUUGAAAAAAAACCCAUAUAAUCCCAUUAAAAAGUGAGCAAAGGACAUGAAUAGACAUUUCUCAAAAGAAGACAUACAAAUGGCCAACAGGUACAUGAAAAAAUGCUCAACAUCACUAAUCAUCAGGGAAAUGCAAAUCGAAAUCCACAAUGAGACAUUUUCUUACCCCUGUUAGAAUGGCUACUAUUAAAAAGACAAAAAAAAAAUAGUAACAGAUGCUGGCAAGGAUCUGUUGGUGAGAAUCUAAAUUAGUACAGCCAUUAUGGAAAACAGUACGGAGAUUUCUCAAAAAACUAAAAAUAGAACUACCAUAUGACCCAGCAAUCCCACUAUGGGGUAUUUUUCUAAAGGAAAGGAGUUCAGUACAUCACAGCAUACCUGUGCUCUCAGUUUACGACAGCACUAUUCACAAUAGCAAAGAUAGGGGAUCAACCUAAGUGUCCAUCAAUGGACAAAUGGAUUAAAAAUGUGAUAUAAAUACACAAAUAGAAUACUAUUUGGCCAUAAAAAAGGAAUAAAAUCUUGUCAUUUGUAGCAACAUGAAUGGAACUGGAGGUCAUUAUGUUAAGUGAAAUAAGGCUGUCAGAGAAAGACAAACAUUGCAAGUUCUCACUCAUAUAUGGAAGCUAAAAAAAGUUGAUCUUAUGGAGGUAGAGAGGAGAAUGAUAGAUACCAGAUGCUGCGAAGGUGUGCUGGUGGGGAAGGGGAUUAAGAGAGUGCUUAGUUGGUGGGUACAUACAGUUAGAUAGGAGGAAUAAGUUCUAAUGUUCUAUACCACAGUGGGGUGCUAUAGUCAGUAACAACGUAUUGUCUAGUUCAAAAUAGCUAGAAGAGAGAACUUGACAUGUUCCCAACAUAUAAAAAUGAUAAAUACUUGAGGUGAUGUCUACCCUAAAUACCUUGACUUGAUCAUUCCACAUUCCAUGCAUGUAACAAAAUAUCACAUGUACUCCAUAAAUAUGUACAAAUAUGUGUAUCAAUUGAAAAAAGGAAAAAAAAUAACAUAAAUGUAAGGAAGUCCAACUGUGUUCUGAUUUUGCCCAUAAUGUUUUCUUGAUACGUUUUUAAAACAUCAAAUAAUAAAUUUAUAAACAAAAUAUUUUGUUAAAUGAGCACUGUCCACUAUAACCCUCCACUUGGUCCAGUCUGAUUUCUAUCCCAAGCUCAAGAUUUUGUGAGCUCUUGGGCUUUCUUCACGCCUAGAAUCUCCCUCUCUCUCUCUCUCUGUCUCUCUCUUUUUCUACUCUGGAAAUACAGCUCCUAACUUUUACUUAAGGCCUUGGUCAAUUUUCAGACCAGCAUCUACCACCAAGACCCUUCCCCAACAAGGAUGCCUCCAUUGAUUACUCCUACAGGGAAAGCUCUGUGAUCUCCUGGAGAAACUGGUAUCCACAUCUCUUAAUAACAUGCCACUGGCUGGGCGCGGUGGCUCAUGCCUGUAAUCCCAGCACUUUGGGAGGCCGAGGCAGGCAGAUCACCAGGUCAGGAGUUCGAGACCAGCCUGACCAAGAUGGUGAAACCCCGUCUCUAAUAAAAAAAUACAAAAAUUAGCUGGGCAUGGUGGUGGGCGCCUGUAAUCCCAGCUACUCAGGAGGCUGAGGCAGGAGAAUCACUUGAACCUGGGAGGUGGAGGUUGCAGUGAACCGAGAUCAUGCCAUUGCACUCCAGCCUGAGUGACAGUGUGAGAUUCCACCUCAUAAAAAAAAAUAAUAACAUA
rnacentral:lncRNA from 1 species